rnacentral:rRNA from 1 species
GAUGAACGCUAGCGGCAGGCCUAACACAUGCAAGUCGAGGGAGAAGCCCUUUCGGGGGCAGAAACCGGCGCACGGGUGCGUAACGCGUAUGCAACCUACCUUUCACAGGGGGAUAGCCCGAAGAAAUUUGGAUUAAUACCCCAUAAUAUUAUUGGAUGGCAUCAUUUGAUAAUUAAAACUGCGGUGGUGAAAGAUGGGCAUGCGUCCUAUUAGCUAGUUGGAGUGUAACGGCACCCCAAGGCUACGAUAGGUAGGGGUCCUGAGAGGGAGAUCCCCCACACUGGUACUGAGACAGGGACCAGACUCCUACGGGAGGCAGCAGUGAGGAAUAUUGGUCAAUGGUCGGAAGACUGAACCAGCCAUGCCGCGUGCAGGAAGAAUGCCUUAUGGGUUGUAAACUGCUUUUAUAUGGGAAGAAUAAGGCGUACGUGUACGUUGAUGACGGUACCAUAUGAAUAAGCAUCGGCUAACUCCGUG